GCCGGGUGUGGUGGCGCGCACCUGUAAUCCCAGCUACUCAGGAGGCUGAGGCAGGAGAAUUGCUUGAACCCGGGAGGAGGAGGUUGAAGUGAGCCAAGAUCACGCCAUUGCACUCCAGCCUGGGUGACAGAGCAAGACUCUAUCUCAA
rnacentral:sRNA from 1 species